rnacentral:lncRNA from 1 species
UCCCUUCUCUUAAAGCUGACCAACACUCAAUAAAUUUGUCUUCAAAUCUUGAACAAACAACACAUUUGAGGUGGUUUGAAUAGAGCCUGCUUUAGUUUGAAUUAUUAUCUUUUCCUUUUUUAUCAUAGAAAUUUUUGAAUUAUCUCCAAGUUUUACAUCAUCUAUGAAUGAUUCGCCCAUUUCCGAAAACGCAGAUUUGUCUCCACACAUUUGGUUACUACAGCCUUUGUCUAAAUACCACAAAUUCUUGUUC